UGUUUCCUGAGGUGUUAGCCAGUUCAUUCAUGUCCCUGGCCGAUGCUUUAAACCAAGGAAGCUGACACGCUGCUAUUGUGCAAGCUCAGCGCGUACUGAGAAGCCUACGGUGGCGAAGAGGCUUCCGCCCUGAACUUUUCGGUUCACGGGCGAACAAUGAACAGCGGCACUUUGGGAAACAC
rnacentral:other from 1 species